UUUUCAGCUUGGUACUUACUGUUUUUAAAUUGUCUUGUACUUCAUAAUUGACUGACGUACUUUAUGAAUUCUAUAUGUGAAUAUUUUAAAACCAUAACACGGUGAUUGCCAAUUUUUUAAGCUGUUCUGUAGUUUAUAUUGGACCAGUGAUCAUUGUAAAUUAGUGUAGUUUUAUUGCAUGCACUUCAGAAUGCUAUUAGAUGUUGAACUGAACACAAGUAAUAAUGAUUGAACAUGUGUGGUAUAGAGCAGAAAUUGCGGG
rnacentral:lncRNA from 1 species